UACAGAGGCGGCAAGCGUUGUUCGGAAUUACUGGGCGUAAAGGGCGCGUAGGCGGUUCGUUAAGUCCUGUGUGAAAUCCCCCGGCUCAACUGGGGAACUGCACAGGAAACUAGCGGGCUUGAGUUCGGGAGAGGGAAGCGGAAUUCCGGGUGUAGCGGUGAAAUGCGUAGAUAUCCGGAGGAACACCGGUGGCGAAGGCGGCUUCCUGGACCGACACUGACGCUGAGGCGCGAAAGCUAGGGGAGCAAACGGG
rnacentral:rRNA from 1 species